UACAUGGGGUGCAAACGUUGCUCGGAAUUAUUGGGCGUAAAGCGCACGUUAGGCGGUUUGUUAAGUCGGAUGUGAAAUCCCUCGGCUCAACUGAGGAAGUGCACCCGAAACUGGCAGGCUUGAGUACUAAAGAGGGUCGCGGAAUUCCCGGUGUAGAGGUGAAAUUCGUAGAUAUCAGGAAGAACACCGGUGGCGAAGGCGGCUCUCUGGGCCUUACCUGACGCUGAGGAGCGAAAGCGUGGGUAGCGAACAGG
rnacentral:rRNA from 1 species